rnacentral:hammerhead_ribozyme from 1 species
AUCCAGCUGACGAUUCUCAAAUAGGACGAAACGCGCAUCCUGGAU